GAUGAAGAACGCAGCGAAAUGCGAUAAGUAAUGUGAAUUGCAGAAUUCAGUGAAUCAUCGAAUCUUUGAACGCACAUUGCGCCCGCCAGUAUUCUGGCGGGCAUGCCUGUUCGAGCGUCAUUUCAACCAUCAAGCCCCAGGCUUGUGUUGGGGACCUGCGGCUGCCGCAGGCCCUGAAAACCAGUGGCGGGCUCGCUGUCACACCGGGCGUAGUAGAUUUUAUCUCGCUUAGGGCGUGCUGCGGGUUCCGGCCGUUAAAAAGCCUUUUUUACCCAAGGUUGACCUCGGAUCAGGUAGGAAGACCCGCUGAACUUAAGCAUAUCAAUAAGCGGAGGA
rnacentral:misc_RNA from 1 species